rnacentral:rRNA from 1 species
AGGACGAACGCUGGCGGCGUGCUUAACACAUGCAAGUCGAGGGGGCGUAGCAAUACGUCACCGGCGAACGGGUGCGUAACACGUGAGCAACCUGCCACAGAGUGGGGGAUAGCCGGCCCAACGGCCGGGUAAUACCGCAUACGAUCUUCUGGGGACAUCCCUGGGAGAUGAAAGAUUUAUCGCUCUGUGAGGGGCUCGCGGCCUAUCAGCUAGUUGGUGCGGUAACGGCGCACCAAGGCGACGACGGGUAGC